GAGAGCCUCACGAAUUGUUAUUCUUAUUUUGAACUACCAAAAUGAUUUACAUGAUCUAAAUAAAGAAAUUUGUUCAGGUUAAAUGUAUCUAUCAUUUUCAUACCAAAAAAAAUCUAUCCUCUUUUCUUUGUAUCUUGUUUAUCAUGUCGUCAUCAACAAGGAGACAAAACCUUGAAUAAUAAAGCUCUAGACACGUCUCAAAUCUCUUCUCAGAUUGAUUGAAUCUUUCCAUCUUGUCUUCAUCUUCUAAAAAUAGGUCCACCCGUCAAUCCUAAGGUUUUGAUCUUAAUACCUUUUACUAGCAAGAUAUAUAGUCUAAAUUCUAUUGCAGCGGAUACAACGCCUUAGCAAAGUGGUCCAUUUGUUUCAAGUUGUGGCAAAUGACAUCCCGGUUCUUGUCUAAAUCCAAGGACUGAAAGCUUUGGAGUGAGAAGGAGAGGAGAUCAAGAAGAAGAAGAGGAGGUCAAGCACCUUUGAGCAAUCUCAGAGUGUUCACUAAGGUACCUCUUCAUCAAAUGGGAAGGAGCUGGCGCGGUAGCGGCACAUCAUGCACACACACUGGUUUCCGCAUUUACGAGAUUUCUCUGGGAUUUAUACUCUGAUAUUUUGAUUGGUUGUAUGAUUUGGCUUUUAGACAUGGUUUACGUUGUGAUGUGGUUUGAUCAAACAAUGUUUUUAAUUAUUAAUGUUUUCUAAAGUAAUGUU